rnacentral:rRNA from 1 species
UACGAAGGGGGCUAGCGUUGCUCGGAAUCACUGGGCGUAAAGCGCACGUAGGCGGAUUGUUAAGUCAGGGGUGAAAUCCUGGAGCUCAACUCCAGAACUGCCUUUGAUACUGGCGAUCUUGAGUCCGGGAGAGGUGAGUGGAACUGCGAGUGUAGAGGUGAAAUUCGUAGAUAUUCGCAAGAACACCAGUGGCGAAGGCGGCUCACUGGCCCGGUACUGACGCUGAGGUGCGGAAAGCGUGGGGAGCAACAGG